UACGUAGGGUGCAAGCGUUAAUCGGAAUUACUGGGCGUAAAGCGUGCGCAGGCGGUUCGCUAAGACAGAUGUGAAAUCCCCGGGCUCAACCUGGGAACUGCGUUUGUGACUGUAUGACUAGAGUACGGUAGAGAGGGGUGGAAUUCCUGGUGUAGCAGUGAAAUGCGUAGAUAUCAGGAGGAACAUCGAUGGCGAAGGCAGCCCCUUGGACCUGUACUGACGCUCAUGCACGAAAGCGUGGGGAGCAAACAGG
rnacentral:rRNA from 1 species